AGUGAACGCUGGCGGUAGGCCUAACACAUGCAAGUCGAACGGCAGCACAGUAAGAGCUUGCUCUUACGGGUGGCGAGUGGCGGACGGGUGAGGAAUACAUCGGAAUCUACUUUUUCGUGGGGGAUAACGUAGGGAAACUUACGCUAAUACCGCAUACGACCUACGGGUGAAAGCAGGGGAUCUUCGGACCUUGCGCGAUUGAAUGAGCCGAUGUCGGAUUAGCUAGUUGGCGGGGUAAAGGCCCACCAAGGCGACGAUCCGUAGCUGGUCUGAGAGGAUGAUCAGCCACACUGGAACUGAGACGCGGUCCAGACUCCUACGGGAGGCAGCAGUGGGGAAUAUUGGACAAUGGACGCAAGCCUGAUCCAGCCAUACCGCGUGGGUGAAGAAGGCCUUCGGGUUGUAAAGCCCUUUUGUUGGGAAAGAAAAGCAGCAGGUUAAUACCCCGCUGUUCUGACGGUACCCAAAGAAUAAGCACCGGCUAACUUCGUG
rnacentral:rRNA from 1 species